rnacentral:miRNA from 1 species
CAUCUGCUGCCAGCUUGGCAUUAUCUAUCUGCACCACCAGCCUGGCAUUCUCAGAUUUGCUGCACAGGAUCUGAGGAAGGAGAGACCGCAUGAAUUAGUGAGCAUGAAAACUAAAUA